rnacentral:rRNA from 1 species
GUGUCAGCAGCCGCGGUAAAACGUAGGAGGCGAGCGUUAUCCGGAUUUACUGGGUGUAAAGCGCGUGCAGGCGGACGGGUAAGUUGGGUGUGAAAGCUCCCGGCUCAACUGGGAGAGGUCGCUCAAGACUGCCGGUCUGGAGCGUGGUAGGGGAAGGCGGAAUUCCGGGUGUAGUGGUGAAAUGCGUAGAUAUCCGGAGGAACACCAGUGGCGAAAGCGGCCUUCUGGACCACGACUGACGCUCAGACGCGAAAGCUAGGGGAGCAAACGGGAUUAGAGACCCCGGUAGUCCUAGCCGUAAACGAUGUGAACUUGGCGCCGGAUGGGUAAAACCGAUCGGUGCCGCAGCUAACGCGAUAAGUUCACCACCUGGGGACUACGGCCGCAAGGUUAAA